CCUUCAAUAGCUCAGUUGGUAGAGUGGAGAACUGUAGAUCCUUAGGUUGCUGGUUCAAUUCCAACUCGAAGGA